AGUAUGUUUACAAUAACCACAAAUAUUUUUUAUACAUUUAUUAUUAUAGAAUUGCUUUACAAGAUGCUUUGGAAGAAAAUGAAAAAUUGAGAAAAAUAAUUGAAGACCUAAAGGAGGAGAAUGCUCAGUACAAACAAAUGUUGGAUGAAGCCAACAGUUUUGUUGAAGUUAUAAAGGAGGAACUAGCCAACAACUCCAAUAAUGACACGGGCAUUGACGUAAACGACGUCAGCACAGCUGAUGAAACUGCAGACGAUGAUGCUAUAGCAUCCAAAAAAAAUGAAGACUAAGUUCAAAAUUUUCUUAAAAUUUAGAAGAUUGUCUCCAAAGCUGUGCCUUCAAGUAUUUGUGGUUUUUUCAUAAAUUGUAAUAUCAACUUCUUUGUUUAAACUUUAUUUUAUCAUCCUUUUUAGAUUAGAACAAUCAGAAAAUCCAAAUUAAAAUACUAUUUCAAGUAUAAACUAAACUGCCUCUUGCGAGCCAAAAUAAUUACUUAAUAUAUUAUUAUAAAGAUACAAAUUAUGUUAUAGGAAGUAAUUUAAGUUCUACAUUAAAAUAAAAGAUAAAAAUAGC